ensembl:scaRNA
GGCCUGUGUCAUUUGCCCCAGGUUGCAAUCAUGCCUGGGGUGUGUCAGGGCAGGCGCAUAGAGAUGAGAGGAAGCUAAGGCAAGGCUGCAUUAGUCAUUGCAGGCCAUGUGCGAUGUUCCUCUAACAGCAUCUCUCCUGUUUCCACGGCGAUGGCAGAUUGCUCACUGUUCUGUCAUCUAUCAGCAAACAGGUAGAGCAAAAUCCAGUGCAGCUAAGAUAUUCUUUGGAGGUCUGAAGUUCAUUUCUCCAAACACUUAAAGCUGCUACACAU